rnacentral:rRNA from 1 species
CCUGGCGGCUUUAGCGCGGUGGUCCCACCUGACCCCAUGCCGAACUCAGAAGUGAAACGCCGUAGCGCCGAUGGUAGUGUG